AUUGAACGCUAGCGGGAUGCUUUACACAUGCAAGUCGAACGAGUGGCGGACGGGUGAGUAAUAUAUCGGAACGUGCCCAGUAGCGGGGGAUAACUACUCGCACGAGUGGCUAAUACCGCCUACUAUUGGAGCGGCCGAUAUCGGUUUAGCUAGUUGGUGGGGUAAAGGCUCACCAAGUCAACGCUCCGUAGCUGGUUUGAGAGGACGACUAGCCACACUGGGACUGAGACACGGCCUAGACUCCUACGGGAGGCAGCAGUGGGGAAUUUUGUACAAUGGGGGAAACCCUGAUCCAGCCAUCCCGCGUGUAUGAGAAGGCCUUCGGGUUGUAAAGUACUUUUGGCAGAGAAGCGGUAUCUGCAGAAUAAGCACCGGCUAACUACGUGCCAGCAGCCGCGGUAAUUC
rnacentral:rRNA from 1 species